GUGCUCCAGUUUUCCUGUCUCUGCUUCCCAUCUAGGGGUGUUAGUAUAAUGGAUGUGUACCAUCACAUGUGGCUUCUUAUAUGGGGUCUGCAGCUCAAACCCACAUCCUCGGGCAUGCACAGCAAGCACCUUAUCCACUGGGCCAUCCCUUGGCCCCACCUGACUGAUACUUAAGAGUCCUAAAGCUCUAGUCCUGAGUUUUGUAAGCUGCUGACUGAACUUAAGCUCACAUGCCCUUGAAUCCUGCUACCAUCUAACAUACUCUCUAGCCACUCACACUUUGCCGGGUGUGUCUGUGUCUAUAGGCACAGAGUUGACCAUUGCACGCAAUACCCAAGGAGGAUGAACCUCCGAUAGGCACCUGGAGUGUCCACUGCAUUUGCAGACAGGGUGAGGAAAGUGGGGGUAAGUAGGAUUCCCUCCCAUCAGGGUGUGGUUGAGAGUCAACCUGGAAGGAAGAUGCUGGAUUCAAGCCCUAGCUGUGUCCUUCUUCCCCAGGGGAGGGUCUGUCCUGCUCCAAGUCUCACCACUGAUCUUGUCAUGGUGAGACUUGUCAAUGGUGACAGCAGUUGACUGUUGUUGUCAGAGAUUGUCAACUGUGCACUUCCAACCGUGCCUGCCCCAAGGGUGAAGAGGCCACAGUGGCUGGUGUUGGUGGUGGAGUUGAGGCUGUCCUCAGAUUUUGAUAGGCUGUGAAUCCUGUGAAAAAAGGCACUGGCUCACACAAAGGCUCUGCACUGAUUAUUCUAUAUUGGGGACCCAGCUGAGGCUGUGAAGGGGAGGUGGCUGGCUGGGGCUGAGGUUUAUACCUUAUUCUGGGAGCAUAGAGAAACCUUUCCAGGGUCUGGAAAAAAAAGGCACUCCAGGGUCUAAUUUGCAUUUUAAAUAAAUCCCUCUGGCUGCUUGCAUGGAGAAUGAAUUAGAGAGACUGACAGGGGCUGAGACCUUAUAAGGGGGAUAGCUGUCUCUAGCAGCCCCAGUGCCCACUGGGAGCAGGCAGGGUGCUGUGCUCACAAGCUCACAUACACUCACUCCUGUGCCCGGCCUGGAGACCUGGGGAGAGGCGGCUGGACAUUAAGUGGUAGAAGCUAUGGGGUGAGAGCUCUAGGGCAUGAAAUUGGAUGGAAAGGAACCUCAGUGUGCCUGCCCCAUGCUAGAAAGAAAGGGGAGAAAUGAAAAAGGAUAUCCCAGCCUCCCACUGCCCCCAUCCUACUUACAACCUACUCAUUGCUACUAUGCUGUUCAGAGCAUUGCGGUGAGCCAUGACCAUGAGCUCAUGUGGACAAUGGAGGGAUGAGGGUAUGAAGGAGGAAUGAUAGAUAUACGCAGUUCAAAGGAUAUUGGCAUACCCACCCAUCCCUUGAGUGCCAUAUUUUUCCUAGGCCACCAACCAGUAAGCACUGGGUAUUUGCUCGAUGUGGAAACUUGUAUGGUUUCUAUGACCAAAUUUCUACUACAGAGGAUGUCAGCUUAGUACAAAAAUAAUUAGGGCCAUAGACCAUGGUGGCACCAGAAGCUAGCCACAGGGACAGUCCGAGUUUUUCAGAGGACAGGAAUUCCAAGAGAGUUGAAGAACAUCAUUAUUGAGGUGUCCGUAAAAGACUGAGGCAGAGAAGAUGGCCUUCUCUGGUCACGGGAUGGCUUGUGCUCAUGCUUGGAUGUGGGAAGCUCUCAGUGUGUUCCAGCCCAGGGAUGUUCCUUUCUUAUGGUAGCUCUGCACCAUGUUGGGAUGCCGGCACAGUAGAAUCCUAAAGCAGGCUAGGGCCAGGUUACCAAAGUCCUUAGGAGUCCUUAAUCGGGCCCAUGGCCUGGGGGUCUGGCUGUGAUGGGAACAGACCACAGGAAGAAGAGAUGAAGAAAUGAGAAGGCACAGUCCUACCACAAAACAGAGUCCCUGGGGUGGACGUCGGGAGCAAUGCAACCAGCAGCAGGACGGCUGGAAAGCACAAGGUCAGACAUGUCCUAAAUGUCUUAAGCCCCACACUUAGAGAUGUUAGGAAAAGCAGUAGAAACAACUGAUAGGACAACAGAUGUUAGAAACAACAGUUGAAGAACAGCUAAGCAUUGUAGCACGAGCCUUUAAUCCCAGCACUCGGGAAGCAGAGACAGGUGGUUCACUGUGAGUUAGAGGCCAACCUGGUCUACAUAGUGAGUUCCAGGAUGGCCAGGGAUAUGUAUCGAGAUCCUGUUGCAAAGCACCAAAAGG
rnacentral:lncRNA from 1 species